UAGGGGAUAACACUUGGAAACAGGUGCUAAUACCGUAUAACAACCAAAACCACCUGGUUUUGGUUUAAAAGACGGCUUCGGCUGUCACUUUAGGAUGGACCCGCGGCGUAUUAGCUUGUUGGUAAGGUAACGGCCUACCAAGGCGAUGAUACGUAGCCGACCUGAGAGGGUAAUCGGCCACAUUGGGACUGAGACACGGCCCAAACUCCUACGGGAGGCAGCAGUAGGGAAUCUUCCACAAUGGACGAAAGUCUGAUGGAGCAACGCCGCGUGAGUGAUGAAGGGUUUCGGCUCGUAAAACUCUGUUGUUGGAGAAGAACAGGUGUCAGAGUAACUGUUGACAUCUUGACGGUAUCCAACCAGAAAGCCACGGCUAACUACGUGCCAGCAGCCGCGGUAAUACGUAGGUGGCAAGCGUUGUCCGGAUUUAUUGGGCGUAAAGCGAGCGCAGGCGGUUUUUUAGGUCUGAUGUGAAAGCCUUCGGCUUAACCGGAGAAGUGCAUCGGAAACCGGGAGACUUGAGUGCAGAAGAGGACAGUGGAACUCCAUGUGUAGCGGUGAAAUGCGUAGAUAUAUGGAAGAACACCAGUGGCGAAGGCGGCUGUCUGGUCUGUAACUGACGCUGAGGCUCGAAAGCAUGGGUAGCGA
rnacentral:rRNA from 1 species